UUGGGAUGACAAUUUGUGGUCCUAGAGGUGGGGAAGAAACACUAUUGAUAAAGAAUGAAGAUAGAGAGGACAUUCGGUUAAAGUGAAAAUCAGUGUCUGAGAAGUGGUCUGAAGAAGGAAAAUAGGACAAGAAUGGGCAUGAACAUAGGAGGUCAUAAGAGAGAUAGAUUGGUCUUUACCACCUCGAGGUAACUUCCGCAACCAAAAAAUAAAAUAAAAUAUUCUUGAAAUUGG
rnacentral:lncRNA from 1 species